rnacentral:rRNA from 1 species
UACGUAGGGGGCAAGCGUUGUCCGGAUUUAUUGGGCGUAAAGAGCGUGUAGGCGGCCUGGUAGGUCAGCUGUGAAAACUCGAGGCUCAACCUCGAGACGCCGGUUGAAACCAUCAGGCUAGAGUCCGGAAGAGGAGAGUGGAAUUCCAGGUGUAGCGGUGAAAUGCGCAGAUAUCUGGAAGAACACCCGUGGCUAAGGCGGCUCUCUAGUACGGUACUGACGCUGAGGCACGAAGGCCAGGGGAGCAAACGGG